rnacentral:rRNA from 1 species
AACGAAUGCUGGCGGCAGGCCUAACACAUGCAAGUCGAGCGAGAUCUUCGGGUCUAGCGGCGGACGGGUGAGUAACGCGUGGGAAUAUGCCUCUUGGUACGGAAUAGCCUCGGGAAACUGGGAGUAAUACCGUAUGUGCCCUUUGGGGGAAAGAUUUAUCGCCAAGAGAUUAGCCCGCGUUGGAUUAGGUAGUUGGUGGGGUAAUGGCCUACCAAGCCGACGAUCCAUAGCUGGUUUGAGAGGAUGAUCAGCCACACUGGGACUGAGACACGGCCCAGACUCCUACGGGAGGCAGCAGUGGGGAAUCUUAGACAAUGGGGGCAACCCUGAUCGAGCCAUGCCGCGUGAGUGAUGAAGGCCUUAGGGUUGUAAAGCUCUUUCAGCUGGGAAGAUAAUGACGGUACCAGCAGAAGAAGCCCCGGCUAACUCCGUG